AUCAGGUGGCAUAUAUAAACAUCAAUGAAGGGCUUGUAGGCAUUAAGUACAGAUCAAUUUAUGAACAGGAGUUGUUUAGGGUGUAUAUACCUAAGCAACCUGGUCUCUAUAUUGGUUCAGGGGAAUCAUCCUCUGUGCAAUGGGCCGUUGCCAAUCUGACCUGCAAGGAGGCAAAGCAGAACUACUCAGGAUAUGCAUGUGUUAGCAUCCAUAGCAUAUGUUUGGGCGUAAACUCAACAGAAGGUUACAUUGGUUAUCGAUGCAAAUGUAUGUCUGGCUUUCAAGGAAAUCCAUACGUACAGAAUGGCUGCCAAGGUUCGAUCUCCCUCUGCCUUGUGUUUUGGAUAUCCUAACCAUUUUGGUUUAACAAUUGAUUGCAUUCUGGAGAGUACAAACACACACAGUGCACAUACGUUUUAUGUCAUUGAGAUCCUAGCCAUUUUAGUUCAACAACUGAUUGCAUUUCGGAGAGUACCCAUAGCUAAAACAGCAGGGAGUGAAUUAGAUUGUCCAAUUCAGUUUCAAUUUCUCAAAACAUAUCGGUAUCAGCCUGUUAGCUUCUGCUUAUUUGCAGCAGCUUGUGCUGCAGCUGCACAGCAAGCUGCUCGGGUGCAAGUGCUGCACGCUUCUGCCCAGCUGCAGAUGCUGGACAUGUUGUUGGCUUGCUGCAGUUGCAGCUGCUGCAGGUUCAAUAUUGGAAGUUUAUGCUUUAAAGUUGUAAUUUUUUGGAUAUCUUCGUUUUCAUUUGUUCUUUUGGAAACUGCACUUUAUUCUGCAUGAAUAAAAGUUCUGACUCCAUGCCUCAAAAUUGACAACCCUCCUUGCAUGUCAGAACUUUGAAUCUUUUAGGCCAUCUGGAGAGCAGAAUCCUGCCCUGUAUUUUCAUUUUUUGGCAGAUUUCAGUGAACAAUGAUGGGGACCAUCGCAAGUUAACCACUGACCAGACUGAAGUCAAUACACUGGUGACCUAAACUUUAAAUAUUUACAACUGAUUUAUGUUUGGAACAACUUUAUAACCGCACGUUUCCAUUUUUUUAACUUUGCCUCAUUGGCCUGCUUUGACCAAGUCAACACAGUCGCCCCUAGUUUUGUGUACUUUGAUGGCAAAAAGUGGCUAAACCAGGGGCAAUGGUGACUGAAUGGAGGGUAACCAUGCACUUAGAGAUCAAAGUGCGGAAUAAUUGCAAAUGACCCUUUAUAUUUUUGGAACUGAAUGGUGUCUCUCCCUGCUGUGUUACUGGCUUAGUUUCUCCUCUAAAAAUUAGGAUUUGUCUGCACUUCAGUGACAUAAAUCUGUGGCUAAACUGAAAUUCACUCUGGACUACCGGUGAGAAAAAAAGAAUACUUUUCAAACCAUAUUCCUAUAUGAAGAUUCUCUUGGCCCCAAAUGUGGGAUCUCUUUUGGUCGAGGUCACCUAAGAUCCUGGAGUGUGGCACAAUUGCAACUUAGUUUAGCUUCUUGGGUGUGUGGAGUGUGUCCUGAAGAGGUCUCUUGGCCUCUCCUUUGUACAUAUUUCUCUCCCUUCUUAAUGAAAUGAUACACAGUUCUCCUGCGUUGUUCGAGGAAAAAAAGUGGGAUCUUCCGUAUCCUUCUUUGUUUCUCCACCAAGAAAUCCAAUAGCCAAGUUUUCUACAUCACAAAAUGGGUUCUGAGAAUCUAACUAUAGCUAUUCUAAGUUCAGGCGGAUUAGAAAAAAUUCCAACUUUUCUCUCCUCUCCAAUUGGCAUGGACAGUUAUAGAUUUUCAAAUUAACAUAGAAAUUUAUAUUCCUCCAAAGCAAACAUGAAGUUUCUAUAUUCGGUAUUAGCUUCGCUUUGUAAAUUUCCCUCACCUAACUAAAAUGUGGUUGCAGAUAUUGAUGAGUGUCUCACACCAGGAAUAUGCAGAGGAGUAUGCCAAAAUACUGUAGGAGGAUACUAUUGCACCAGUUGCCCAGACAAAACACAGUAUGAUACUACGAUAAUGCAUUGCACUCCAAUAAAACGGCAAAAUCUUCUAUUAGGUGAGCUUUAUUAAACAGUAAUUUGACAACUAAGAUGGAGAAGAUAAUUAAAGCAGAAACAGACUAAGGAGCGUAAUUGUUGCAGGUAUUGUCAUUGGGCUUAGUGGUGGCUUCAGCAUUCUACUUCUCAGCUUAAGUGCAUCAGUGCUUGUUCGCAGAUGGAAAAGGGACAUCCAAAAGCAACUACGAAGGAAGUAUUUUGAAAAAAAUCAAGGACUUCUCCUAGAACAACUAAUAUUGUCAGAUGAAAAUGCAACCGACAAGACAAAGAUUUUCACUUUGGAAGAGCUGGAAAAAGCAACAAAUAACUUCGAUCCUACACGAAUACUUGGUCGUGGAGGGCAUGGCAUGGUGUACAAAGGCAUAUUAUUGGACCAACGUGUUGUUGCAAUUAAAAGGUCUAAGGUAAUUGAGGACAAUGAGAUCAGUCAAUUCAUUAAUGAGGUCGCAAUUCUCUCUCAAAUAAAUCAUCGGAAUAUUGUAAAGCUCUUUGGAUGUUGUCUAGAAACAGAGGUUCCACUACUGGUGUAUGACUUUGUUCCCAAUGGCUCAUUAUUUGGAAUUCUACAUUCUGGUUCAAGUAGUAGUUUCUCUUUGUCAUGGGAUGACUGCCUAAGAAUUGCUGCAGAAGCUGCAGGAGCUCUUUACUAUCUCCACUCGGCAGCCUCUGUAUCAGUCUUCCAUCGUGAUGUGAAGUCCUCUAAUAUACUGUUAGAUUCCAACUAUACUGCAAAAGUUUCGGACUUUGGUGCUUCUAGAUUGGUUCCUAUUGAUCAAACUCAUGUUGUUACAAAUGUCCAAGGCACGUUUGGAUACUUAGACCCAGAGUAUUACCAUACUGGGCAGCUAAAUGAUAAGAGUGAUGUAUAUAGUUUUGGUGUGGUACUUGUGGAACUGCUUCUUAGAAGGGAGCCUAUUUUUACAAAUGAGACAGGGUCAAAGCAGAACUUGUCUAAUUACUUUCUUUGGGAGCUAAAGUCAAGGCCAAUUAAAGAGAUAGUGGCUACUCAGGUUUGUGAAGAAGCAACCGAGGAAGAGAUUAACAGUGUUGCCUCUCUUGCGGAGAUGUGCUUGCGACUCAACAGUGGAGAGAGACCUACGAUGAAGCAAGUCGAGAUGAAUCUGCAGUUCUUGCGAACAAAAAGAUCAAACUCCUGCCAUGUUGUUCAAGAUAACUCUGAAUCUGAAGAGAUGCAACCAUUGCUAUGUACAAGAGCUGAAUCUAGAUAUGAGACAUUUGAUAUUAGCUUGGGUGAAAGUUCUAGUUCAAAGUCUCGCUACAGCCAAAGAUUGGGUGAAAGUUCUUGUAGCUUGGAGCAUGAUUUCGGAUCAUUUUUUGGGGUAUCACGCUAAGGAUCUCUUGUCAGCGUCAGAACUCCAUAGAACAUCACAAGAAGAUUUUUGUGAGAGUGAAUGUUUCUUUUCCUACAAGUGCUAUCGAAAUAAUGUGUUGUACCCAGGCAUGUACCUGAACAUCUUAUUGCGGAGAAGAUGAUGGAUUCCUCAUUUCCUCUACAGUUUCUUAUUUUAUACAAUAUCAUACAGCAGUAUGUAGUGCCUCAAAUUGGAAUUACACUGAUCUGUCAUUUGUACUUGGAUUCUUGCAGUUCAUAACUUGCGUAUAUAUAUGUAAACUUUUUGCUGCAUAUUGGAUAUGUGAAGAGUUAUUUUAGGUAUAAUGUAUUUGUGCACAAAAAUUCAAAUAACAGAACAAAUGCACUAUCUGUUCCGUCAUUGAUUUUCAGAUUAGACAUGAAACCAGAUCUCUCGGCAAAUCAACAAGUUCCAGGAAUCUAAACUGAGUACUAGGUUAUUCUAGCGCAUAAAAUGUUGCCCAAGUGGGAUAGUAUACAUGUUUAUGUCACUAAUUCGUUGCCACCAAAGAUACAUAUAUGUAAUCCACAGUUUGUGACCCACUGCUUGGAGGCAAAUAAUCUGAAAGGACCAUACCUAUAUCCGAGCCACAAACAGAAGGAAGCAGCACACCGAUGGGUCAUGGGCUCAUGGCCACACCAUGCCCUACGGAUAACGGAUGCAACCCAUGGACGGCGGCGGCGGUCAGUAAUCGGCAACGUUCACAAAGAGCUGAUCUGCAAAAUUUGUCACAAAAUAGCUAUAAACCAAGAGAUUAAGUAAGAGGGAAGCAAUGACGCAUACUCGAAGACGACCUACCAACCAAAAUGGGGAACAGCUCGGCAGGAAGGCAGCGGCCAGCACUGAGCCGGCGGCGCUCGCGGAGAGGCUGCGUCGGGCCACAUCCGCCGCGGCGACCCCGAUACAGGAACGAACGUCCUCUCCAGCCGGAGAGAGAGUGCAAGCGCGGGAGGGACGGAGGGGCAACGCGAUGGCAGCCGCCGGCGAGGACCGGGUGCGGAUCGGCUCCCGGGCGGUGAAUCCGGUUGCUAGCCAACGGGCAAGCCGAAGAGGAUAACGAAUGGGCCGUGGCUA
rnacentral:lncRNA from 1 species